rnacentral:rRNA from 1 species
AGUUUGAUCCUGGCUCAGGAUAAACGCUGGCGGCGUGCCUAACACAUGCAAGUCGAACACCCUUGGGUAACCAAGGGAGUGGCGGACGGGUGAGUAGCGCGUGGGUACCAACCCUUCAGUGAGGAAUACCGGCGAGAAAUCGCCGACAAUACCGCAUACACUUCGUAAGAAGUAAAGCCCGCAAGGGCGCUGGAGGAUGGGCUUGCGUCCGAUUAGCUAGUUGGUGAGGUAAAAGCUUACCAAGGCUGCGAUCGGUAGCUGGUCUGAGAGGAUGAUCAGCCACACUGGGAUUGAGAACGGCCCAGACUCCUACGGGGGGCAGCAGUGAGGAAUUUUCGUCAAUGGGGGCAACCCUGGACGAGCAACGCCGCGUGCAGGAGGAAGGUUUUCGGAUCGUAAACUGCUUUUCUCUGGGACGAGCAAGGACGGUACCAGAGGAAUCAGCCUCGGCUAACUACGUGCCAGCAGCCGCGGUAAUACGUAGGAGGCGAGCGUUGUCCGGAGUUACUGGGCGUAAAGCGUACGCAGGCGGUCCAAUGAGUCUGUAGGGACAGGGCACAGCUUAACUGUGUCGGGCUUAUGGAAACUGUUGGACUUGAGGGCUUCAGAGGGAUGGGGAAUUCCGGGUGGAGUGGUGAAAUGCGUAGAGAUCCGGAAGAACACCAAAGGCGAAGGCACCAUCCUGGGGAGUCACUGACGCUCAGGUACGAAAGCUAGGGGAGCGAACGGGAUUAGAUACCCCGGUAGUCCUAGCCGUAAACGAUGACCACUAGAUGUGCGGGGGAUCGACCCCCUGCGUGUCGAAGCAUACGCAUUAAGUGGUCCGCCUGGGGAGUACGGUCGCAAGAUUAAAACUCAAAGGAAUUGACGG